rnacentral:rRNA from 1 species
GAUGAACGCUGGCGGCGUGCCUAAUACAUGCAAGUCGAACGCUGGAGAUCUAGCUUGCUAGAUCGAAGGAGUGGCGAACGGGUGAGUAAUACAUAAGCAACCUACCCACGAAGACUGGGAUAAUCUCUGGAAACGGGGACUAAUACCGGAUAGGUAAUCGGAAGGCAUCUUCUGGUUAUUAAAGGUUAAAAACACUGGUGGAUGGGCUUAUGGCGCAUUAGUUAGUUGGUGAGGUAACGGCCCACCAAGACGAUGAUGCGUAGCCGGCCUGAGAGGGUGAACGGCCAUAUUGGGACUGAGACACGGCCCAGACUCCUACGGGAGGCAGCAGUAGGGAAUUUUCGGCAAUGGGGGCAACCCUGACCGAGCAACGCCGCGUGAGUGAAGACGGCCUUCGGGUUGUAAAGCUCUGUUGUAAGGGAAGAACGGUAGAUAGAGAAUAUCUAAGUGACGGUACCUUACCAGAAAGCCACGGCUAACUACGUG